rnacentral:lncRNA from 1 species
GCUCAGCACUAGAGUAUUUGCCUAGCAUGUGUGACGCCCUAGGUUUGGGUCCCAGUAUUGAAAAAAAAAAGAACCACAUUAAUUUACUGGAAGCCAUAGUAAUCAUAAAUACCAUGCUAAUACUAGAGCUUUAAGUACAUGAACAAAGAGGACAAAAGACUGAUCGUAACAACUCUGCCUCAGCCACUGAUGGAAUGGUCAAAUGAAAGUGCAUUAAUAUAUAUGAAUAUUAUCAGGCACCGUAACAGGUCUGGAGCACAUGAACUAUCUCAGUUUUUAGUCAUCAUGGUGCUUACACCAGGAUUCGCCACAUUAUGGACUGAAACAAAUCUAAAUCCAUGCAAAGAAAUAAAAUCAUGCUGGACAUGGUGGUGCACACCUAAAAUCCCAGCUACCCAGGACACAGGCAGAGGAAUCUCAAGUUCAAGGCCAGCCUGGACCCUGUCUCGAAGAAGAUUGUAAAAUGGGACAGGUGCUGUGGAUGUAACACAGAAAUAGAGCACUUGGCAACAUGCAAAGGCUCAGAGUUUGAUCCCUAGAACCACCCCAAAAAAGAAUGAAAUCAAAUAGAUUAUGUCCUCUAACCUCAAAGAAAUUAAAUUGCUAACACCAAUAUCUGGAAAAUCGCCCAAAAUUUUGAUUUAGGCAACAUACUGAUUAACAAUUCAAGCUUCAUGGGUAAAAUCAACAGAGAACUUAAAAUAUUUCACAAUAAAUGACAAUGAUUGUGUGACAGAAUUUGGUGACAUCCUGCUAGUGGAGUGCUUCCAGAGAAAUAUAUCACUUUCACUGCUUCUGUUAAAAGAAUAGAGGUUGCCGGACAUGGUGGUGCACACCUGUAAUCACAGCACUGAGGAGACCGAGGCAGGAGGAUGGUCACAAAUUCAAGGCCAGCCUGAACUACAUAGCAAGACCCUAGCUCAACCCCUGCUUCCCAGAAAGCAAUAGCAGUUCAGGGGAAAGAUACUACUGUUGAUGGAUAUAGGGUUUCUUUUUGAGGAUAUUAGAAAUAGUCAAAAGCUUUAGUGGCAGUUGUGUAUCUAUGAAUAUAUUAGACUAUUGAGCGUUCACAUUAAAGGGGUGAAUUACAGGGCCAGGGAUUUAGCUCAGUGAUGCCAUGGCUGCCUUGCAAGCAUGGGUUUGAUCCCCGGUACCAAAAAAUUAAAAUUAAAAAAGGGGUGAAUUGUGCAUGUAAUUCAUUAAAGUUCUUAAGGAAAAAUAGUAUAAAAAGUAAUCAUCUGAAGAUCCACACAGUCACCCAUAAAGUAGGUGUACAUUAACUCAAAGUAAGUGAGUGGAAGAAGGUAAUAAGAGUGAAAACCAGUGAAAUGAGCUUUGUGGUGGCCCAUAUCUGGGAUCCCA